GACGAACCGUGCGAACGUUAUUCGGAAUCAUUGGGCUUAAAGCGCGUGUAGGCGGAUUCGUGCGUCUGUCGUUGAAAUCCCCCCGGCUCAACCGGGGAAGUGGCGCGGAUACGACGAGUCUGGAGGGGCAUAGGGGGACCUGGAACUUCCGGUGGAGCGGUGAAAUGCGUUGAGAUCGGAAGGAACGCCCGUGGCGAAAGCGAGGUCCUGGACGUCUUCUGACGCUGAGACGCGAAAGCUAGGGGAGCGAACGGG
rnacentral:rRNA from 1 species